rnacentral:lncRNA from 1 species
AUAAAGAAACUUUACAAAUACAGAGGAAGUUUGAAACAGGGUAGCAAAACCACUGCAGUACUAACGAGACCUAGGCACUUUUACAAAAUAAGGCCUUUACAAAAGAAUACUCUCAUAGACAGAGCAAUUACAAGGAAUCAACACAAAAAGCAAAGAGCAGAGGAUUACACUCUCUCACCAACGAAAAGGAAGCUUAACCAGUACGAAUGACUUGUCGCUACAUAGGAUUGAAGACGACAUUCCUCAGUAACACUUUUCGCAAUGAGAUGAGCUCCUCUGUUUGCAGC